rnacentral:rRNA from 1 species
AAUGAAUUUAAGUGAGUCCGCACAUUCUAUCAAGCCUGUCGUUCAAUUUGAUGCAACGCGAAGAACCUUACCUGGUCCUGACAUAGUAGGAGCUUUCCAGAGAUGCAUUGGUGCCUUCGGGGGCUUACAUACAGGUGCUGCAAGGAUGUUGUCAGCUUGUGUUGUGAGAUGUUGGGUUAAGUCCCGCAACGAGCGCAACCCUUUUCCUUAUUUGCCAGCACUUUGGGUGGGAACUUUAAGGAUACUGCCAGUGACAAACUGGAGGAAGGCGGGGACGACGUCAAGUCAUCAUGGCCCUUACGACCAGGGCUACACACGUGCUACAAUGGUCGGUACAAAGGGUUGCUACCUAGCGAUAGGAUGCUAAUCUCAAAAAGCCGAUCGUAGUCCGGAUUGGAGUCUGCAACUCGACUCCAUGAAGUCGGAAUCGCUAGUAAUCGCGGAUCAGAAUGCCGCGGUGAAUACGUUCCCGGGCCUUGUACACACCGCCCGUCACACCAUGGGAGUUUGCUUGCACCAGAAGUGGAUAGUCUAACCGCAAAGAGCCCAGUUCCACCACCUGUGUGGGCCCCAGGU